rnacentral:rRNA from 1 species
UGGGGAAUAUUGCACAAUGGGCGCAAGCCUGAUGCAGCCAUGCCGCGUGUGUGAAGAAGGCCUUCGGGUUGUAAAGCACUUUCAGCGGGGAGGAAGGCGAUAAGGUUAAUAACCUUGUCGAUUGACGUUACCCGCAGAAGAAACACCGGCUAACUCCGUGCCAGCAGCCGCGGUAAUACGGAGGGUGCAAGCGUUAAUCGGAAUUACUGGGCGUAAAGCGCACGCAGGCGGUUUGUUAAGUCAGAUGUGAAAUCCCCGGGCUCAACCUGGGAACUGCAUCUGAUACUGGCAAGCUUGAGUCUCGUAGAGGGGGGUAGAAUUCCAGGUGUAGCGGUGAAAUGCGUAGAGAUCUGGAGGAAUACCGGUGGCGAAGGCGGCCCCCUGGACGAAGACUGACGCUCAGGUGCGAAAGCGUGGGGAGCAAACAGG